rnacentral:rRNA from 1 species
UUGUAAUUUGGAGAAGGUGCUUCGGGUGCGACGGCGUUCCAAGUCCCCUGGAACAGGGCGUCACAGAGGGUGAGAGUCCCGUCCGGAUCGUCUGUCCAGCCCGUGUGAAGCCCUUUCGACGAGUCGAGUUGUUUGGGAAUGCAGCUCAAAACGGGUGGUAAAUUUCAUCUAAAGCUAAAUAUCUGCCGGAGACCGAUAGCGCACAAGUAGAGUGAUCGAAAGAUGAAAAGCACUUUGAAAAGAGAGUCAAACAGUACGUGAAAUUGUUGAAAGGGAAGGGCUUGCAGCCAGACUCGCACGCGGGGGCUCCGCCGUCCCUCGGGGCGGUUCACUCCCCCGCGAUCGGGCCAGCAUCGGUUUCGGCGGCCGGACAAAGGCUCUGGGAACGUAGCUCUCCCCGGAGAGUGUUAUAGCCCGGGGCGCAAUGCGGCCAGCCGGGACCGAGGACCGCGCUUCGGCUUGGAUGCUGGCGUAAUGGCUGCCAGCCGCCCGUCUUGAAACACGGACCGGUGAGUUUCCAUCCACAGUUAUAUGCUCCCGCUUGUACUAACGAUGAUGCAGAGGAGUCGACCAAUCAUGCGAGUCUGUGGGUGUCAAACCCCCGGGCGCAAUGAAAGUGAACGCAGGUGGGAGCCUUCGGGUGCACCAUCGACCGAUCUUGAUGUCUUCGGAUGGAUUUGAGUACGAGCACGGUUGGUCGGACCCGAAAGAUGGUGAACUAUGCGCGGAUAGGUUCGUUGAAUGCUUAUUUAAUUGUCAAUGGACAUCAAACUAACUAUGAAAUAGGGUGAAGCCAGAGGAAACUCUGGUGGAGGCUCGCAGCGGUUCUGACGUGCAAAUCGAUCGUCAAAUCUACGCAUAGGGGCGAAAGGUAAUCCUUCCGACGAUCUGACGCCAAGAAUGAUGCGCUAACCCUUUACAGACUAAUCGAAUCAUCUAGGUACGCCCGAUGUGCUAC